UAGAGUUUGAUCCUGGCUCAGAUUGAACGCUGGCGGCAUGCCUAACACAUGCAAGUCGAACGGCAGCACAGGUAGCAAUACCGGGUGGCGAGUGGCGGACGGGUGAGGAAUACAUCGGGACCUGCCCAGANNNNNNGGAUAACGUAAGGAAACUUACGCUAAUACCGCAUACGUCCUACGGGAGAAAGCGGGGGAUCUUCGGACCUCGCGCGGUUGGAUGGACCGAUGUUCGAUUAGCUAGUUGGUGAGGUAAUGGCNCACCAAGGCGACGAUCGAUAGCUGGUCUGAGAGGAUGAUCAGCCACACUGGGACUGAGACACGGCCCAGACUCCUACGGGAGGCGGCAGUGGGGAAUAUUGGACAAUGGGCGCAAGCCUGAGGGAGCAAUGCCGCGUGUGUGAAGAAGGCCUUCGGGUUGUAAAGCACUUUUAUCAGGAGCGAAAUACUACGGGUUAAUACCUCGUGGGGCUGACGGUACCUGAGGNNNNNNNNNNNGCUAACUUCGUGCCAGCAGCCGCGGUAANANNAAGGGUGCAAGCGUUAAUCGGAAUUACUGGGCGUAAAGCGUGCGUNNNNGGUUUUUUAAGUCUGCUGUGAAAUCCCCGGGCUCAACCUGGGAAUGNNNGUG
rnacentral:rRNA from 1 species